GAUGAACGCUAGCGGGAGGCUUAACACAUGCAAGUCGAGCGGUAGGGCAGCAAUGCCUGAGAGCGGCGCACGGGUGCGUAACGCGUAUGCAACCUGCCUUAUACAGGGGAAUAGCCCAUGGAAACGUGGAUUAAUGUCCCAUAGGAUUACGGAUUCGCAUGGAUUUGUGAUCAAAACUGAGGUGGUAUAAGAUGGGCAUGCGUCUGAUUAGGUAGUUGGUAGGGUAAUGGCCUACCAAGCCGACGAUCAGUAGGGGUUCUGAGAGGAUUACCCCCACACUGGUACUGAGACACGGACCAGACUCCUGCGGGAGGCAGCAGUGAGGAAUAUUGGUCAAUGGCCUGAAGGCUGAACCAGCCACCCCGCGUGCAGGAUGACGGCCCUAUGGGUUGUAAACUGCUUUUGUACCUGAAGAAACCUGUUUACGAGUAGACAGUUGCCGGUAAGGUAUGAAUAAGCAUCGGCUAACUCCGUGCCAGCCGCCGCAGUAACAC
rnacentral:rRNA from 1 species